rnacentral:rRNA from 1 species
AGUGAACGCUGGCGGUAGGCCUAACACAUGCAAGUCGAACGGCAGCACAGUAAGAGCUUGCUCUUACGGGUGGCGAGUGGCGGACGGGUGAGGAAUACAUCGGAAUCUACUUUUUCGUGGGGGAUAACGUAGGGAAACUUACGCUAAUACCGCAUACGACCUACGGGUGAAAGCAGGGGAUCUUCGGACCUUGCGCGAUUGAAUGAGCCGAUGUCGGAUUAGCUAGUUGGCGGGGUAAAGGCCCACCAAGGCGACGAUCCGUAGCUGGUCUGAGAGGAUGAUCAGCCACACUGGAACUGAGACACGGUCCAGGCUCCUACGGGAGGCAGCAGUGGGGAAUAUUGGACAAUGGGCGCAAGCCUGAUCCAGCCAUACCGUGUGGGUGAAGAAGGCCUUCGGGUUGUAAAGCCCUUUUGUUGGGAAAGAAAAGCAGCAGGUUAAUACCCCGCUGUUCUGACGGUACCCAAAGAAUAAGCACCGGCUAACUUCGUG